rnacentral:rRNA from 1 species
AAACGCUUGAAGUCAGUCGCGUUAUCUGGGGAUCAGCCUUCCUUUUGGUUGGUGUACUUCCCAGUUGACGGGUCAGCAUCAGUUUUGACCAGUGGAUAAAAGCUAGAGGAAUGUGGCAUCUUCGGGUGUGUUAUAGCCUCUGGUUGUAUACAUUGGUUGGGA